rnacentral:rRNA from 1 species
AACAAGUCUCCUGCAGUCGACGAUUCCUACGGGAGGCAGCAGUAGGGAAUUUUCCGCAAUGGGCGAAAGCCUGACGGAGCAAUACCGCGUGAGGGAUGACGGCCUGUGGGUUGUAAACCUCUUUUCUCAAGGAAGAAGCUCUGACGGUACUUGAGGAAUAAGCAUCGGCUAACUCUGUGCCAGCAGCCGCGGUAAUACAGAGGAUGCAAGCGUUAUCCGGAAUCACUGGGCAUAAAGCGUCUGUAGGUGGUUUAGUAAGUCUGCUGUUAAAGACUGGGGCUCAACCCCAGAAAAGCAGUGGAAACUGCUAGACUUGAGUGUGGUAGAGGUAGAGGGAAUUCCUAGUGUAGCGGUGAAAUGCGUAGAUAUUAGGAAGAACACCAAUGGCGAAGGCACUCUACUGGGCCAUAACUGACACUGAGAGACGACAGCUAGGGGAGCAAAUGGGAUUAGAUACCCCAGUAGUCCUAGCCGUAAACAAUGGAUACUAGAUGUUGCACGUAUUAACCCGUGCAGUAUCGUAGCUAAGGCGUUAAGUAUCCCGCCUGGGAAGUACGCUCGCAAGAGUGAAACUCAAAUGAAUUGACGG